rnacentral:rRNA from 1 species
CAUAUGGUAUUCCUACGGGAGGCAGCAGUGGGGAAUUUUGGACAAUGGGCGAAAGCCUGAUCCAGCCAUUCCGCGUGAGUGAAGAAGGCCUUCGGGUUGUAAAGCUCUUUCGCAAGGGAAGAAAACUUAUCCUCUAACAUAGGAUGAGGUUGACGGUACCUUGAUAAGAAGCACCGGCUAACUACGUGCCAGCAGCCGCGGUAAUACGUAGGGUGCGAGCGUUAAUCGGAAUUACUGGGCGUAAAGCGUGCGCAGGCGGUUUUGUAAGUCAGAUGUGAAAUCCCCGAGCUCAACUUGGGAACUGCGUCCGAAACUACAAGACUAGAAUAUGUCAGAGGGGGGUAGAAUUCCACGUGUAGCAGUGAAAUGCGUAGAGAUGUGGAGGAAUACCAAUGGCGAAGGCAGCCCCCUGGGAUAAUAUUGACGCUCAUGCACGAAAGCGUGGGGAGCAAACGCGGGAAUAGACGCCUGGGAGUCCACGUCGCAAGAUUAAAACUCAAAUGAAUUGACGGGGGCCCGCACAAGCGGUGGAUUAUGUGGAUUAAUUCGAUGCAACGCGAAAAACCUUACCUGGCCUUGACAUGUAACGAACUUUCCAGAGAUGGAUUGGUGCUCGAAAGAGAACGUUAACACAGGUGCUGCAUGGCUGUCGUCAGCUCGUGUCGUGAGAUGUUGGGUUAAGUCCCGCAACGAGCGCAACCCUUGCCAUUAAUUGCCAUCAUUUAGUUGGGCACUUUAAUGGGACUGCCGGUGACAAACCGGAGGAAGGUGGGGAUGACGUCAAGUCCUCAUGGCCCUUAUGGCCAGGGCUUCACACGUAAUACAAUGGUCGGUACAGAGGGUUGCCAAGCCGCGAGGUGGAGCCAAUCCCAGAAAGCCGAUCGUAGUCCGGAUUGUAGUCUGCAACUCGACUACAUGAAGUCGGAAUCGCUAGUAAUCGCGGAUCAGCAUGUCGCGGUGAAUACGUCCCGGGCCUGUA